GAAUAUUGGACAAUGGGCGAAAGCCUGAUCCAGCAAUGCCGCGUGAGUGAUGAAGGCCUUAGGGUUGUAAAGCUCUUUUACCAGGGAUGAUGAUGACAGUACCUGGAGAAUAAGCUCCGGCUAACUCCGUGCCAGCAGCCGCGGUAAUACGGAGGGAGCUAGCGUUGUUCGGAAUUACUGGGCGUAAAGCGAGUGUAGGCGGUUUGCCAAGUCCGUUGUGAAAUCUCCCGGCUCAACUGGGAGGGUGCGGCGGAAACUGGCAGGCUAGAGUGCGGAAUGGGAGAGUGGAAUUCCUGGUGUAGCGGUGAAAUGCGUAGAUAUCAGGAGGAACACCGGUGGUGAAGACGGCUCUCUGGACCGCUACUGACGCUGAGACUCGAAAGCGUGGGGAGCAAACAGG
rnacentral:rRNA from 1 species